rnacentral:tRNA from 1 species
GCCGCGGUGGCGGAAUCGGCAGACGCGCUAGCAUGAGGGGCUAGUGGGCUAUAUGCCCGUGGAGGUUCAAGUCCUCUCCGCGGCACCA